rnacentral:rRNA from 1 species
AGAACCUUACCUGGUCUUGACAUCCACGGAAGUUUUCAGAGAUGAGAAUGUGCCUUCGGGAACCGUGAGACAGGUGCUGCAUGGCUGUCGUCAGCUCGUGUUGUGAAAUGUUGGGUUAAGUCCCGCAACGAGCGCAACCCUUAUCCUUUGUUGCCAGCGGUCCGGCCGGGAACUCAAAGGAGACUGCCAGUGAUAAACUGGAGGAAGGUGGGGAUGACGUCAAGUCAUCAUGGCCCUUACGACCAGGGCUACACACGUGCUACAAUGGCGCAUACAAAGAGAAGCGACCUCGCGAGAGCAAGCGGACCUCAUAAAGUGCGUCGUAGUCCGGAUUGGAGUCUGCAACUCGACUCCAUGAAGUCGGAAUCGCUAGUAAUC